rnacentral:rRNA from 1 species
UCCUACGGGAGGCAGCAGUGGGGAAUAUUGGACAAUGGGGGCAACCCUGAUCCAGCCAUGCCGCGUGUGUGAAGAAGGCCCUCGGGUUGUCAAGCACUUUCAGCGAGGAAGAACGCCUAGCGGUUAAUACCCGCUAGGAAAGACAUCACUCGCAGAAGAAGCACCGGCUAACUCCGUGCCAGCAGCCGCGGUAAUACGGAGGGUGCAAGCGUUAAUCGGAAUUACUGGGCGUAAAGCGCGCGUAGGUGGCUUGAUAAGCCGGUUGUGAAAGCCCCGGGCUCAACCUGGGAACGGCAUCCGGAACUGUCAAGCUAGAGUGCAGGAGAGGAAGGUAGAAUUCCCGGUGUAGCAGUGAAAUGCGUAGAGAUCGGGAGGAAUACCAGUGGCGAAGGCGGCCUUCUGGACUGACACUGACACUGAGGUGCGAAAGCGUGGGUAGCAAACAGGAUUAGAUACCCUGGUAGUCCACGCCGUAAACGAUGUCAACUAGUUGUUCGUGUCACUAAGACGUGAGUAACGCAGCUAACGCACUAAGUUGACCGCCUGGGGAGUACGGCCGCAAGGUUAAAACUCAAAUGAAUUGACGGGGGCCCGCACAAGCGGUGGAGCAUGUGGUUUAAUUCGAUGCAACGCGAAGAACCUUACCAUCCCUUGACAUCCAGUGAACUUUCUAGAGAUAGAUUGGGUGCCUUCGGGAACACUGAACAGGUGCUGCAUGGCUGUCGUCAGCUCGUGUGUGAGAUGGUUGGGUUAAGUCCCGCACAACCCACCCUUAUCCUCAUUGCCACACCGAAUGGGUGGGAACACUUGGGGAUCUCUCGGUAUAACUCAAAAGG